rnacentral:rRNA from 1 species
AUGGCCUCCAACCAGAACCAGGCGAGCUACGCGGCCGGCGAGACCAAGGCCCGCACCGAGGAGAAGACCGGGCAGAUGAUGGACAAGGCGGGGCAGGCCACGGAGGCCACGAAGCAGAAGGCCGGCGAGACGGCCGAGGCCACCAAGCAGAAGGCCGGCGAGGCCAAGGACAAGACGGCCCAAACGGCGCAGGCCGCCAAGGACCGCGCCGUCGAGAGCAAGGACCAGACCGGCAGCUUCCUCGGCGAGAAGACGGAGGCGGCCAAGCAGAAGGCCGCCGAGACGGCCGAGGCGGCCAAGCAGAAGACGUCGGAGACGGCGCAGUACGCGCAGGAGAGGUCCUCUGACGCGGCGCAGUACACCAAGGAGUCCGCCAUCGCCGGCAAGGACAAGACCGGCAGCGUGCUCCAGCAGGCCGGCGAGACGGUGGUGAACGCCGUGGUGGGCGCCAAGGACGCCGUGGCGAACACGCUGGGCAUGGGCGGCGACAACACCAACACCGCCAAGGACACCACCACCGAGAAGAUCACCAGGGAUCACUAG